CACUGUUUUCGAACGUGUGCUCCUGGCGAACAAAGCUAGUAGGGCUUGGGCUUAACUUUGUUACUUUUGCACAGAAGACUGGAAUACAUCAGGGAAAUGGGAAGCAUUGCAAAUGCCAAAAUUUCGGGCUUCGUUUGCCGCAUCUGCAUGCAGGUCCACCGCAACGUUCUCCUCUUUUUCGGGGAACGCGCUCAGCAAAUGCACCUGGUCCAGAAGGUGAAAAGACACUUCUCGGUGGCCGUCUCGUCCACCGACGAUCUGCCCAAGACCAUAUGCCACGAGUGCAUCAGAACGGUGAACAGGUUCGAGGAGAUGCAGGCCUACUUCCGAAAGCUAAGAGCCGACCUUUGUCUGGCGAUUCCUCGAGGCAGUCCGCCCAGUCCAGUCUCUGACUGGACGGAUGACCUCGCCAUUAGCGACGAUAGCGAUUCGACCGAGUCGAGUGACUCCUUCGAUUUCGAUGAAGACGACAACGCAGAAUAGCUGAAAGCGCAUGUGAAGCAUUACUCAACACAACUUUUCGAGAUCUCGCAGGUGAAAGCUUUAACUAAGAGCUUCCCCUUUCUAAACGCCACUAACCAUUUAUACACCCAACUUUAUGGAAAGCUAGCGUAAAACCAUUACACUUAUCUUAAUGAGAAGUCGAUAUACCAAAGCUGAUUCGUGAUGAACCACCAAUACCAAGUUGAAUCACCAUAGAGAAGUUUAACGCACUAUAAGGAUAUAUUCUCCAUAUUCAUUCUUUGGGUGGCAUUUUGCCAAGUUCCCACAAUUCCAGCAGCGUUUUCAACUGAUUCGCGGUUCACAUGCCUAAUUAACAUGUCAAUAAGUCGAGGAGGGGGCCCGGCCAUCAAGUCGAAAAAGGAUUUUAACCCUAAUGAACGUCGAAAGAGACAGGACAACGCCAAGGAAAGGAAAGCGAGCAGGACGAGGGCAGUUGCGUGCGGAGCCGCGAAACGUGCGCCAUUAAAAAGCCACGAACAUCAAUUUAAAUAUUGCAUUACAAUGAUUUGCAUAAAGGGCACACGCAUAGCUCACAAUAUACACACACACACGGUACAGUACUCCCCCCCUUGCCGCGAAAUCACGGACAAAACAAAGGAAACCCCCCAUUAAACCAAAAUAAAUUUGCACUUUCACAUGA